GACGAACGCUGGCGGCGUGCCUAAUACAUGCAAGUAGAACGCAGUUGCGAACGGGAGUAUAACGCGUAUGAUAACGCUUCAUAGCGGGGGAUAACUAUUGGAAACGAUAGCUAAUACUGCAUACUGUGAGAUGGACCUGCGUUGUAUUAGCUAGUUGGUGGGGUAAAGGCUCACCCAGGCGACGAUACAUAGCCGAUCUGAGAUGGUGAUCGGACACACUGGGACUGAGACACGGCCCAGACUCCUACGGGAGGAAGCAGUAGAGAAUCUUCGGCAAUGGACGGAAGUCUGACCGAGCAACGCCGCGUGAGUGAAGAAGGUUUUCGGAUCGUAGAGCUCUGUUAUUAGAGAAGCGGUACCUAACCAGAAAGGGACGGCUAACUACGUGCCAGCAGCCGCGGUAAUAC
rnacentral:rRNA from 1 species